UACCUUUGACAUGUACGGAACUCGCCAGAGAUGGCUUGGUGCUCGAAAGAGAGCCGUAACACAGGUGCUGCAUGGCUGUCGUCAGCUCGUGUCGUGAGAUGUUGGGUUAAGUCCCGCAACGAGCGCAACCCUUGUCAUUAGUUGCUACAUUUAGUUGGGCACUCUAAUGAGACUGCCGGUGACAAACCGGAGGAAGGUGGGGAUGACGUCAAGUCCUCAUGGCCCUUAUAGGUAGGGCUACACACGUCAUACAAUGGAUGGUACAGAGGGUCGCCAACCCGCGAGGGGGAGCUAAUCCCAUAAAACCAUUCGUAGUCCGGAUCGCAGUCUGCAACUCGACUGCGUGAAGUCGGAAUCGCUAGUAAUCGCGGAUCAGAAUGUCGCGGUGAAUACGUUCCCGGGUC
rnacentral:rRNA from 1 species